rnacentral:rRNA from 1 species
GGUGAACGCUGGCGGCGUGCUUAAGACAUGCAAGUCGAACGGCAGUCUUCGGACUGUAGUGGCGCACGGGUGAGUAACGCGUAACUGACCUACCCCAAAGUCGCGGAUAACGAUUCGAAAGAAUCGCUAAUACGUGAUGUGCUGUCAGAUUGUGUUCUGCCAGUAAAGAUUGAUUGCUUUGGGAUGGGGUUGCGUUCCUUCAGCUAGUUGGUGGGGUAAAGGCCCACCAAGGCGACGACGGAUAGCCGGCCUGAGAGGGUGGCCGGCCACAGGGGCGCUGAGACACGGGUCCCACUCCUACGGGAGGCAGCAGUUAGGAAUCUUCCACAAUGGGCGAAAGCCUGAUGGAGCGACGCCGCGUGAGGGAUGAAGGUCUUCGGAUCGUAAACCUCUGAAUCAGGGACGAAAGACACUUCGGUGGGAUGACGGUACCUGAGUAAUAGCACCGGCUAACUCCGUGCCAGCCGCCGCCGUAUAC